GACGAACGCUGGCGGCGUGCUUAACACAUGCAAGUCGAACGGAAAGGCCCUGCUUUUGUGGGGUGCUCGAGUGGCGAACGGGUGAGUAACACGUGAGUAACCUGCCCUUGACUUUGGGAUAACUUCAGGAAACUGGGGCUAAUACCGGAUAGGAGCUCCUGCUGCAUGGUGGGGGUUGGAAAGUUUCGGCGGUUGGGGAUGGACUCGCGGCUUAUCAGCUUGUUGGUGGGGUAGUGGCUUACCAAGGCUUUGACGGGUAGCCGGCCUGAGAGGGUGACCGGCCACAUGGGGACUGAGAUACGGCCCAGACUCCUACGGGAGGCAGCAGUGGGGAAUAUUGCCCAAUGGGCGGAAGCCUGAUGCAGCAACGCCGCGUGCGGGAUGACGGCCUUCGGGUUGUAAACCGCUUUCGCCUGUGACGAAGCGUGAGUGACGGUAAUGGGUAAAGAAGCACCGGCUAACUACGUG
rnacentral:rRNA from 1 species